rnacentral:tRNA from 1 species
GGCCUUGUAGCUCAGUCAGUAAGAGCAACAGUGAUCAAUUCUGUAGAUUGUGGGUUCAAACCCCACCUUGGUCA